ensembl:lncRNA
AAGUCUGAAAUUCAAAUCUGCACUUGGAGCCUGGGCCUGUGUCUUGAUUUCCAUUUCAGAAGUGGAAAUACCCUGCUGUAGAUUGGGCCAGACCUUGUGUCUUAAGAGAAAGUUUUGAGCAGACAGAUAGAAGGAAAGAUCACAAAGUAUGAGAUGGAGGAUCUCUAUUUGAACAUUUUAUCUCUAGUCACAGGUAUUUUUAGAGCUGACUGGCCGUGCUGGUUGUACGUGCAGAGAGGAGGUUCUAGGCUGGAGCGUGAUUUCCAGGGGAUGGGGGUUUAGGAGAAACCAUUUCCUAUGCCUGACCAAAGCCAGAGAAAGAUAGAUUCUCUGGGUAUAAGAUUUUAUCAUUAAAGGCCUGAAAAUAAACUCUUCCAAACACAGUUGGAAAGGUACCUGAGUGUGAUAGCUUAUUUGAACUUCAUGAGAGCAUUUCCAUGCCCUCCCGGGGAAAAGGAACCUCCCUGACAGAUAAAUAAUCUGGGACAGAGGUUUUCAAGUGCAGCCUGCAGGGCACUGGAGGCUUGACAAGCCUCUACGUGCAGCCUGUCAGGGGCUUUCUUUUAAACCAAGGCUCUGUGUUUAUCUGGGGUAUUUAUGGCACUGUGGGUGAAGGAGACGUGGCCCAGGCCUGGCAGCCCCCUGAUGGAGAGGGGGACUCUGAAUGGGGCUAAUCCUGUGGGAGGGCUUUUCCUAGCAAGAACGUGCUUCAACUUUCUUCAGGUGUGAAUAAGGGCAGUUUGAAUAUUUCUCAGUGCCUGCUGAGGGUUGUAAUGACUUUUCUGAACUUUGUUUCUGGCUGCAUGUCCCAGGUGACCUGCCCCAAAAUGGCUGGAAUAGUGAGGAACCACCUCUUUUGCAGUGUGCAUCCUCUUUGUCAUGGUUAGAGAAAAACAAGCUGUGUGGAAAUAAGAACAACUUGGGAAAGUCUGGCUGCAGAGCCCCUUCAGCCCUCAGGGCUGUGUAAAAUGGGUCACUGGAAGCGUGGAAGCAGAAUGAAAGGAAAGCCUUGUUAAUCCUGGGGUUUUUGGCUCCUUGGGCACUAAUUUAAUGUUAAACUACUUUCUGACUUCAGGGAUUUGCACAUGCUGAAAAGCUUUGCUACAAAGAGGGGAGACGGCAGCAAGGCAAAAAUGAAAGGGUACUCCUGUGCCUCUGAAAGCAGCAGUGAUUUAGUGAUUUUACUAAAGCAUUUGAGAAGCCUCUAGGAAAGGACUCUGAGGGUAAAAUGUCAGUAACUUGUAUUCUUCUCAUUAGCCCAAAUAAUUUCCACCUGCCUUCUAUCACCAGGUAGAUGAGGAGGCAGUGAAAGGAGAUUGCCCUCGGGUGGGAAUGCUUUGCAAGGAACUGGGCAGCAUGGCCGGUCCUGGCUGAGCCUAGGUGCAGAGGCUGCCCUUGGAAGGAGAUUCCUGCUGCUUGUGGGAGCCCUGAAGAGCACGACCACCUUUGUCAGUAGAGAGGCCUGGGAAGCACAGUGUGGCUCCAGAGGUGACAGGGCUCCUGCUACACUGCUCCUCUCACAGCUACUGACAUGGUCACACUUCCCUCUGUAAGUACACCCAGUUGUUCUAAUUGUUUUGCUGUGGUUGUCUGGUGGCUCCUAUCGAAUUGCAGCAGGAACUUGUUUAUUCAUAGAGAUAUGUGCCUUGGCCUCACCUUGUUUCAGGGGCAAGGAGAGCUUUGUCUGCAAGGAAACUCUGUCUGCACGGUGUUUCUCGUGGCCAGGCAGUACUUUGAAGAACACAGGCUGGAUGGUGUCAGUGCAGCUUGUCAUGAAAGCAGUUGAGUUGAAAUUCACUCUUUGUUAAGAGUUCUGUGCCAGGCAGUUUUCUAAAUGGUUGAAAAGGGGGUAUUAAGGAAGGGUUUGUUUUCUCUAAUGAAGUUGGAAUGUGGAGAGCAGUUGUUAGCCUGUUGUGAACUUGCAGCAACAGCCUUUUGGGUUUCUUGUGUCUUGUUUCUUCUGGUUUGUUCUUUCUGGGGAGAGGUGUAAGAUUUUGUGUGCCUGACCAGUCUUGUCAUGCUGGAAGUAGAAGGAUAAUGAGAGAAUGAAUGGAGGAAGGAGCAGAGCCAGGAUUCUGCUUUCUCCAUGCAAACUUUUCCUUUGUGUUUUUGAACUAGCCUGCCUUUCUCAGUGAAACAGUGUCUACAGAACAGAGGUUUAGGGUUAGGACAGCAUUUUUACUUCCAUUUUAAAUGCUUGUAACUUGCUGUGGCUGCCUCAUCCCUGGAGGUGUCCAAAGCUAGGCUGGAUGGGGCCUGGAGCAACCUGGGAUAGUGGGAGGUGUCCCUGCCCACGGCAGGAAGGUGAAACUGAUGAUGAUGUUUAAGUCACUGAUGAUGCUUAAGUCACUUCCACACAAACCAGUCUGUGAUUCUCUGUGCAAGUGGCUGUAGUGGGCCUCUGUUGGGACCCUGAAAUGCAAGAAUUUUCUCCAGUUACGUGUGCCUCAAAAGAAUGUUUUUUUCUGUAGGUGUGGCAGAAACGUGGGCUUGAGGUUGGGCAGGAGGGUGACUAACCUUAGGAGAGGCCGGGGAGGGAAGGUGUGAGUGUGCUGCUAUUUAUGUAAACACCCUGAUAGCUUGAGCACUUGAGAAAAGAGUGUAGAAACUGAGGAAAGAGCGCCAGGGAAUAUCAGCCAGGCAGGGCAAAUAGCUGUGGCGUUAGCAGCGAGGAGGUGGGACUGAUGGCUCUGGAGCUGACACAGAGGUGUGGCUGCACCUUCACCUGGAUUGCAUCCGGAGAAGGGGAGAGAUGCAGCUUUCCUCUCCCUGCCUGGAACAGUGCAGGCACAGUCCUGGGGCUGAUACAGCUGGAGUAGCAAAAAAUAUCUCGAUGGCAUUUAGCACCAUGACCUUUGAACACUUCCACAGGCUGACCCAAGAGCAGAGACAACACUUUGGGUGAGGCAGGGCUCGAUGGAAAUGUGCUGUGAAUCACUCUCUUGUGUUGCUGUUGGUCUCUCACUGCCAGGCAUGUGAAUUUGGGACAGAUAAACAUAAUUUCCUUUAGCAUGACGAAUUCAGCUGGGGAGGGCCCAUUGCAGUUGCCUCUGAAGGCUGGAUGAGCAUUGAGACAGUGGAAUAGACUUAAAACAUUGGUGUACUUUGGCUGUAUUUUCCCAAAUAUUAAAAUUCCUAGCA